CCAGCAGCCGCGGUAAUUCCAGCUCCGCAAGUGUAUUCCUAUACUGUUGCGUUUAAAUAGCUCGUAGUUGCAUCUGCGUGUUUAGCGCGCGGUGCCAUUUGUUUUGGUUACUGUGUCGCGGCACUUCAGGCUAGUCGACGAUGCUUUUAUAAGCAUGGUUGCUGGCAAGUUUACUUUGAACAAAUCAGAGUGCUCAAAACGGGCGUUUCGCUCGGAUGUUCUUGCAUGGAAUAAUGGAAUAGGACCGCGCGUUCUAUUUUGUUGGUUUUCGGGACGCGGGUAAUGAUUAAGAGGGACAGACGGGGGCAUUUGUACUGCGACGUGAGAGGUGAAAUUCUUGGAUCGUCGCAAGACAGACUACUG
rnacentral:rRNA from 1 species